rnacentral:tRNA from 1 species
GGCCCCAUCGUCUAACGGUUAGGACAUCACAUUCUCAAUGUGGUAAUCGGAGUUCGAUUCUCCGUGGGGUCA